UACGAAGGGGGCUAGCGUUGCUCGGAAUCACUGGGCGUAAAGCGCACGUAGGCGGAUCUUUAAGUCAGGGGUGAAAUCCCGAGGCUCAACCUCGGAACUGCCUUUGAUACUGGGGAUCUCGAGUCCGGGAGAGGUGAGUGGAACUGCGAGUGUAGAGGUGAAAUUCGUAGAUAUUCGCAAGAACACCAGUGGCGAAGGCGGCUCACUGGCCCGGAACUGACGCUGAGGUGCGAAAGCGUGGGGAGCAAACAG
rnacentral:rRNA from 1 species